rnacentral:rRNA from 1 species
UCUGUGGCUUCGGUCCGGAUGUGCCAACAGGUAACACUGUUGGUAAUUCUAUCCAUAACACCUGUGAACUGUUGGAUGCUUGCAUCCACUUUUAUACUAAACAUUAUUGUAACAAAUGUAGUCUUAUUAUAACAUAAUAAAACUUUUAACAACGGAUCUCUUGGCUCUCGCAUCGAUGAAGAACGCAGCGAAAUGCGAUAAGUAAUGUGAAUUGCAGAAUUCAGUGAAUCAUCGAAUCUUUGAACGCACCUUGCGCUCCUUGGUAUUCCGAGGAGCAUGCCUGUUUGAGUGUCAUGAAACUCUCAAACCCAAGUUUUGGAUUUCGAUCCAUGCUUGAGUUUGGAUUUGGAUGUUUGCCGGUGAUAAGCCGACUCAUCUUAAAAGUAUUAGCUAGAUCUGUCUCUAUGACUGGUUUGACUUGGCAUAAUAAGUAUUUUGCUGAGGACAUCUUCGGAUGGCCAGGACCUAGACUAUUGUCUGCUAACUAAACCAUCACUUUAAGUGCAUCUUUGGAUGUUACUCAUUGUGUAACUUUGACAUCUGGCCUCAAAUCAGGUAGGACUACCCGCUGAACUUAAGCAUAUCAAUAAGCGGAGGA